rnacentral:lncRNA from 12 species
AUGCCUGCCCAUCUGUGGAACGAUUCCAUGGCUAACCCUCCUCUUGCCUCUGGGAACGCUCCUGACUUUUACCUUGCUCAGCACCCACCAAAGUUCUCUACCUGUAGGAAACAUGCUGUGGGGAACUCCGUGCUGGACGUGGGAAGAACCUCUUUGCUUCUGGUGGUGCUGCUGUGCGAGUGGAGGCAAGGCCAAGAGAGACGGGGAGAUAUCAAAGCUCUUGGGAUGGAGCCAGGUCAACUUCCCUUCAACAAAUCAAUUUAAAAAAAACAAGACCAACCUAGAAGAGGAAACCAUGGCACUUCCCAUUUGUUUGUUAUUCUAAUGGAUCCCUUCAUGCGCACAAGAGAACGACCCCGAUUAUACAAACCCACCAUUUACAAACUGUCGUUAUUCCCAGUGUCUUCCUGUUGGAGGUUUUCAAUCCCAAAAGAAGUUCCUUAGGUGAGCUUUAAUUUGACUGCAACCACUUUCAGCUCCAAGGAGGACACUUCGAUUUGGACACUGGGUAAUAAAAUAAGAAGAUAAAUGCUCUUGCUCUUGAUA